rnacentral:ncRNA from 1 species
AAGUUAUCACGAAAGGCAGAGGGACUAGACCCAAUGAAGCCUUAGCAACCCUACUCUUGUAGAAGGUGCUACAUUCUACUCCAUUUUGGAGAAAGAUAACAA